ensembl:snoRNA Gm24608 small nucleolar RNA SNORA58
AAGCAUAUCCGUAGACCUUGUCUGACUCUACUCAUGGUCAGUCAGGGGGGACAGUGUAUGCAAGAUUAAUUGGUGUUCAUGUGAGGAUUAACUUGUUUAAUCAGUACCUGGGUAAAUCACAGUACUCAAACAUUU